CAGGAUAUACUUAGGUUGAGAUUGAGUAAAAACCAUAGUACUGUAUUUUUAUUGAGGAUGGUGUAGAAAACUACUUCGUUAGUUUUAUUUCGUGUUUAUGUAUGUUGAACUGUUAAGUCAGCUAGUACAUUUAGGUUUGUAAUAAGGAUAUGAUAUUGUGACAUAGAGGUCGGGAUUUGACUUUUAAAUUUCCGUGUUUGAUUCAAUGUUUGAACAAGUACCCAUAUAUGAUAUAUGUGAUGUUAUUUGAGUUAAUGUGAUGCCCUGUUU
rnacentral:lncRNA from 1 species